UUGGGGCCCUGCUCUACACCAACUAGAGCAAUGAAUUGAUAGUACAUCACCAUCAGCUUUAAUGUUUCAAAGAAAAGACGAAACAACUUGUUUUAUAGUUGUAAAAUUAUUUCUGUUAACUCAAAACAUAGUCGUAGGUUGAUACUAAGGUUUCCUUACGUAAUGCGUCUCAUUACGUCACACCAUAAGGUAAAUACUAGUUCUCUUCAAAUAAUAUACAUGGCCAACACGUUUGACACCAAUUUGUAUAAAACGACUACAUCAACACAAACUCUCGCGAGUAUCAACAAUGAAGACAGUCGCAAUCAGAGCACAGACGCCGAGGCAGGCGGACGUAGCGCGCGAACCAACAUAAAUAUUGGCACGAGAUCAAAUACUAAAUUAGGAAUAAUUUAUUAAAUCCAAGAAAUUGUUUAUUUUGUACCUACCUAAUAUUUGAAACUUAACUAUCUGAACAGUGAUACGUUACUAAUUCAAGACUUGUGAGUUAUUGUGUAAAAGUGGAAAUCUAAAGCGAUGACGUCGCCGGCUAUCACAAAAUCGCCAGAAAGCCAGAAGACUCAGAAAAAAACACCUGUGCACUCCGGGGGCGCACAGGAGCAACCCAACAAUGUUGACGCGGCUUCCACGUCCGCGACACCUCCGCAGCCGGAGACAUUCAGCUGGCUACGAAUUUUUAAACUAGCAGAUCUUAUGAUGAAACAAGGAUGUUAAACAGUUAUAAUGACAGCGUAGAUAAUUAAUUAUCAUGGCUGUUUACACAUUAUCAAAAUAUAGACAUAGAUGUUAAAACGUAGCAAUAAUUUGUAUUUGUGAGAAUAGUUGUAGUCAAUGUUAUCACGAAAGAGUACCUGCAAUUUUGAUUUUUGAUUAUGAAAUAAAAAUAAAAAAAAACUACGGUUUAUGUAAUCGAAUGGGGACUGAAGUACAGUCGCUAGUAGUAACUUGUAGCGAAUAGAACUUAUUGACAUUUGAAAUUGUUCAGAAGUAUUUGGUCACCUCGUCUGCUACAAUAUAUCUGAUGGCGACUGUACGUCACGUUAAUAAUUAUGGAUAGCAUCGGGUUUGACACCUUUGCAUUAUAUGUAUAGCAGCUGCGACUUACUGAACUGAAUUACCUACACCCCUGUUCGUUAUACGAGAUAACUUUCAAUUAAAUGCCAAGAUCAAUAA